GAACCUGUUUUGAACUUCACAAAGGACUGGCCCAUUUCCUUCCAUUUUAUAACAAAUGGGAACAGGGAAUUACAUAAUACAUUUAACUUUACUGGGAUUGGCGAAAAGAGGAGGUAUUAGACUAAAUAUUACUAUUUUGUAUUAUUUACGAAAAAAUAUUUAUUGAUUAUUGCAUUGUUAAUUCAUAAAUGUAUUUUAAUACAUACAAAAUUAAUUGGAAAAUUUAUGAUUUCAAAUUUAAGGGCGAGAUAGCUCCUUGACGAUGGGCCUGGAUAGAUAUAUCUUGGCUCUGAGCACAAGGCAGCCCUAGGUUCCAGAUGCUGUCUCACCUUGUCCAUGACAUGUGUAUCAGCUAGAGCUGAGCCUGAUAAACUACUAUGCAUAUGAUAUAGAACAUGAAACAAGAAACUAAGAUAAUUUGUUGAAGAUCCCCACAUAACCGAAACUUUCGCUCUCAACUGAAAUGUUUUCAUUUGUAGUCGACCAAUUAUAAGAUAGCAGAUAUCUAUACUUAUACAUGAAUAAAUUUUGCCAAUAAACUAAGAAAUGCUUGCAAAUGAGCUAUUGCUUGCACCUUUAAAAUUUCAACCACAUAUGAGAUGAUGUCCCUAUAAACUAUAAUUGAACUCUACCUGAUCAGCAAUUAUUGUGAAAUUAAUUGAAAACCUACUUUCAUUUUCGAUAAACUACCCCGAAAUAGCAAAAAUGAGAGUAAAGUGGUGGACACGCUUUGGCGGAUCUAAGUCAUUUGGAGAUGACAACAUAUAGUAAUAUAUUACAUAAAUCUGUUAAUAGUGAAUAUGUCAAUAGGAAAUUGAUUUAAAGUAUGCAUAGGAUUGGGCGAAUUAGGAUGCGAUAAUUGUUAAAUCUAUAAAAUGCGCGAAUUUGUAUCUUCUAUCCACAAUUUUAGUUUUAAAGGAAAUUUCCAGAUGUUCGGGUAGCUAAACAGAGUUUCGUAUAAUAUUCAUUUCACCAUGGACCAGACACAAAUUCACCAUGAAAAGAACAUUUUUAAUGCACGUUUUUUUUUCUUUUAUUCAUAUUUAUAACUUCAAAUACAUCUAUUAGUAAAAUAAACUUUUAAAAAUAAACAAAGCAACAGAUACAGUACUACUCCAAGCGCUCAAAUUGUGGGUCUCUUUGAUAAUGCAUUUAAAAACUAAAGUCCCAUGCUACGGUAGGUGCUGGCACGAUAAAGAACCCCUUACUGAUCAAUAACCCUUAACACGGAAGUUCCGAUUGUUAAUUGAAGAAUUUACAUGGACAUAGAUAUAUAUGUUAAAUUAAUAUUUUUAAUUCUUUGGAUCUGUGAUUUAUUUUCAUAAGAUAAGAAAUUCUUUUUAUUCUAAACUUUUACUGCAUAGUUGUUCGAUGCUUGGUCAAUAUUGUUCAAUCCAUGGUGAAAUAGCUCAAUACUGCAUUAAUUAGUUUUAUUUUCUCUUACACUGUCAUUAUUUAUGUGUAAAGUGUGAUUUCUCGUGCUUGUGCGGGUAUUCAACUAGUAUAAUCAGAAACACAAGAUUGGAAUUAAAAAUUAAAACAUUAUAACAAUAUGUUAUGUUUAAACUUAUAAAAAAGUUCAACUGUUUGGUGGAUAAAAAUAUCUACACUUUACUAUAUGUAUGCAUGUUUGACUAUAUAAUGGGGGUCAAACACACUGUCAAGUGAGGAAGGGGGGACAAUUGAGGGGUUGGGGCAGAUGUUACAAAUCUCAUAUCGUUAAAGGCUCUGUUUAUUACAAAAAAAUUAUGCACAAUGGCAGGACCAAAUAAAAUACAUUCAUCCAUCCUCCAACAAGUUCCAUCAAACCUGUACUUAGGAAUUACCAUCUGAAGAUCUAAAGCGGGGAACACAAAUUUCUAACAUCACCAAGAAGGCUGAUUCAAACCUAGGCUAUAUCUGUGAAGAAAUCUACAAAACUGCCCCAAAGGAAGCCGACGAAAUACCUAUAUCUCAUUUAUAUGACCUAUCUUAGAGUACGUAUCUUUUGUAUGGGAUCCUUACUACACUAAGGACAUCAGCAACAUUGAGAGAGUCCAAAUCAUCGGAGCAAGAGUUAUUUCUCUGACCAUACCAACCGAGUAGCAGAAUGUAUCAGUGCAAUAUUCAGAGAUUUCAAACAACCAACACUUCAAGACAGAUGCUGUAACAUUAGACUAACAUACUUCUACAAGGUAGUUUAGGGACUGAUGCCAGCCAUACACCGCCACAAAAUUACUGUACCCACCACGUACCUUGAAAUUAUGCAGAAGUGACAGAACCAUCACUGUCCAUACAUAUACAGACUAUAAUACUGAUAAAAUAUCUGACCAUUCAGCUUUACUAUGACAGCAGAGGAUUGAUUUUUGUGACAAAGUCCUGCACUCUCUCACUAAUUGAAAUUACACUAAAUUUGCAAUUUGCUAUGUAUUCAUAGAUACAAGUAUUGAACUGUUGAAGUAAAAUAUUAAUAUGUAUAUGCUACCCGGAACAAGGUUUAACCUGUUAACCUCCAACAUAUUUCCAAACUUAAUUUUGAUAAAACAAAUAACCUCCAUUGUUUACGAUUAUGGUGAUUUAUACAACACUUCAAUAUACAGGAUUACAAUUCUGAUUAGUCCCGAUCCACAAUGCUGCUCAUGUUCACUAAGUUCAGUUCACUCACCAGCAUGCAGCAGCCAUGAUUUCAGUGCCUACUGGGCUACUUUCACUUUCACAGGAAGUGAAUGCAGAUCGAGGUCAAAUUAACGUUGUAGACCCUGUUGUUUGGAAUUGGACUCUGAGCAUAGAUUGAUCAUACAUGAUGAGUAUUUACUCAAUGAUUGAUCAGGAGAGAUACUUCGAAUUACAUUUCAUGCCCAGAUAUGUUGGGCCCAAUGCGUCUUUGCUCCAACCAUCACAAACUGACAAACGGAUGGUGACCGUGAUACUGAUAGUAACAGCUGAGUAAGGCUACAUGUACCCCGAUCAUCAAUGAAAGGCAACCGGGAUGCAGUCUUUAAAUCUGGAGUUCUGGGCAGAACUGUGCAUUUCUGGAACAAUGAUGAGUUUAAGUGAAAUGGUAAUUUGUCAUGAAUGUCUACAGUGACUACAUGUACCCUGACCAUCUUUGAAAGGCAACUGGGAUACAGUGCAGUCUUUAUCUGGAAUUUUUGGCAGAACUGGACAUUCCUGGAACAAUGAUCAAUUCAAGUGAAACAGACUCGGGUGCAAGCAGACAUUCUUGUAAUUACAGAAUGUAUUCCUUAAGAGAGGCAACAUGUGACCUGAAAACAAUUCUAUUCAGAUCUAUUUAAGGAAUGAAUUCAAUAUCUAAUUCAUCCAAGUAUAUACUGGGUUUGGGCAGUUUGCGCUUUUUUAAACUGCUAAGUGGUUUAUGAAAAAGCACAUUUUUGAACUUGCAAAAGAAAUCAGACCAACUGCUGAUAUACGUGGUUUUCAGUGAGUUAAUCAACGAUUAUCUAUGAAAAGUUAGCUACACUGAACAGUUUCUUUUUUACAUGAGUAUAUAUACCUAAAACCCAUUGCACAUCAUAAGAAUUUUAUUUUAUUUUGGACAGUGCUCUUGUUGUAAAGUGUUAUGUGUAAUGCAUGCGAGUUGUGGACGGGGUUUGUAGUCAUCUGAGAACAAGGAUUGGCACGUUGGGUGGACUUGGAGAAAUCUUUAUAUGCUAAACCCAGUUUUAGAAGAAACGAAGAAAGCAAACACUAGAUCAGUUCCAACUAAUAGAGCUGUCAAUCAGGAUAAGCAAUAAAACAUGUUGACCAAAUUGGCACUCGGCUGUAAUAAAACAUUGUAUGUAGGGAACAUGUACUAGAAGGAAAGAGCGUUUAUGUAUACAUUUAGUUUUUAUGUAAUAUUCAUUAAUUAUUAUUAUAUGAUUGAUAUUAAAUAUGUAAGGCCACA